AUGAACGCUGGCGGCGUGCCUAAUCCCUGCAAGUCGAGCGAACGGACGAGAAGCUUGCUUCUCUGAUGUUAGCGGCGGACGGGUGAGUAACACGUGGAUAACCUACCUAUAAGACUGGGAUAACUUCGGGAAACCGGAGCUAAUACCGGAUAAUAUUUUGAACCGCAUGGUUCAAAAGUGAAAGGCGGUCUUGCUGUCACUUAUAGAUGGAUCCGCGCUGCAUUAGCUAGUUGGUAAGGUAACGGCUUACCAAGGCAACGAUGCAUAGCCGACCUGAGAGGGUGAUCGGCCACACUGGAACUGAGACACGGUCCAGACUCCUACGGGAGGCAGCAGUAGGGAAUCUUCCGCAAUGGGCGAAAGCCUGACGGAGCAACGCCGCGUGAGUGAUGAAGGUCUUCGGAUCGUAAAACUCUGUUAUUAGGGAAGAACAUAUGUGUAAGUAACUGUGCACAUCUUGACGGUACCUAAUCAGAAAGCCACGGCUAACUACGUG
rnacentral:rRNA from 1 species